rnacentral:rRNA from 1 species
AUGAACGCUGGCGGCGUGCUUAACACAUGCAAGUCGAACGAUGAAGCCCAGCUUGCUGGGUGGAUUAGUGGCGAACGGGUGAGUAACACGUGAGUAACCUGCCCUUAACUCUGGGAUAAGCCUGGGAAACUGGGUCUAAUACCGGAUAGGAGCGUCCACCGCAUGGUGGGUGUUGGAAAGAUUUAUCGGUUUUGGAUGGACUCGCGGCCUAUCAGCUUGUUGGUGAGGUAAUGGCUCACCAAGGCGACGACGGGUAGCCGGCCUGAGAGGGUGACCGGCCACACUGGGACUGAGACACGGCCCAGACUCCUACGGGAGGCAGCAGUGGGGAAUAUUGCACAAUGGGCGAAAGCCUGAUGCAGCGACGCCGCGUGAGGGAUGACGGCCUUCGGGUUGUAAACCUCUUUCAGUAGGGAAGAAGCGAAAGUGACGGUACCUGCAGAAGAAGCACCGGCUAACUACGU